GACGAACGCUGGCGGCGUGCUUAACACAUGCAAGUCGAACGGAAAGGCCCUGCUUUUGUGGGGCGCUCGAGUGGCGAACGGGUGUGUAACACGUGAGUAACCUGCCCUUGACUUUGGGAUAACUUCAGGAAACUGGGGCUAAUACCGGAUAGGAGCUCCUGCUGCAUGGUGGUGGUUGGAAAGUUUCGGCGGUUGGGGAUGGACUCGCGGGUUAUCAGCUUGUUGGUGGGGUAGUGGCUUACCAAGGCUUUGACGGGUAGCCGGCCUGAGAGGGUGACCGGCCACAUUGGGACUGAGAUACGGACCAGACGCCUACGGGAGGCAGCGGUGGGGAGUAUUGCACAAUGGGCGGGAGCCUGAUGCAGCGACGCCGCGUGCGGGAUGACGGCCUUCGGGUUGUAAACCGCUUUCGCCUGUGACGAAGAGUGAGUGACGGUAAUGGGUAAGGAAGCACCGGCUAACUACGUG
rnacentral:rRNA from 1 species